rnacentral:rRNA from 1 species
CAGUCGCCGCGGUAAAACGAAGGGUGCAAGCGUUACUCGGAAUUACUGGGCGUAAAGCGUGCGUAGGUGGUGGUUUAAGUCCGUUGUGAAAGCCCUGGGCUCAACCUGGGAAUUGCAGUGGAUACUGGGUCACUAGAGUGUGGUAGAGGAUAGUGGAAUUUCCGGUGUAGCAGUGAAAUGCGUAGAGAUCGGAAGGAACAUCUGUGGCGAAGGCGACUAUCUGGGCCAACACUGACACUGAGGUACGAAAGCGUGGGGAGCAAACAGGAUUAGAUACCCGCGUAGUCCCUGUCUCUUAUAC